CAAGAAGGAAGUGGGCCCCUUCUCUCUUCCUCCAGAGUCACCAUGUGAGCCCAGGAAGACAGGAUGCUUGUCACUGGCAUCCAAUGAGAUAAGUCUUAUAAAAUAUAUAGAUUUAUGAUCAUUAAGACUGAACUAGCAGAUGAGAAAUCGUAGUCAUUGGCCAAGCAGCAUUUGUACCUAAUGUCUCUGUAUAUUAUUUUGGCCACACAUGUGGUGGGCAGAACUCAAGUGGCUGGCAGAAGAUUAAUCAUAACAGGAGGGGGAGGCUUAGUCCAAUGGAAACUCCAUGGAACCUAUGAGAGUAAUCCUAGCAAAGACUACUAGUAGUGGGGGACAUGGAACAUGUACUGGCCAUCUCCUAUAAGCAGGAAAGGCCUCAAGUGGAGGGAUUGUAACACCAACCAAGUCACAAACCCUUUGACCUACACUUUUCCUGCCUAAAGAGUAUUCUGGGACUAGAGCAUAGCAGAAUCCUCAUCAAAGAGACCAGAAAAACUUCAUCCAGCAACUGAUGGAAGCAGAUGCAGAGUCCAAUGGACAAAUAUUAGGGGGAUCUCCAGGAGUCCUGUGGAGGAGGCGGAGGAAGGAUCAGAGGAACCAGAGGUGUCAGGGACACCAUGAGAACAUGACCCACAGAAUCAACUGUCAGUAACUCAUGGGGGCUAAUAGAGAGCAAGGUGCCUGUAGGGGUUGGACCUAGGUCCUCAGAGGCUGACUUUCUGGGUGUUGUGGGAUUCCUACAGUGGGAGCAGAAUGGUUGGUUACCAACUAUUAAACAUACUCAUGGAACUCUUUCCCUCCUACUGGGUUGCUUCCUCCAGCCUUGAUUUGAUGGCAUGUGCCUGGUCUUAUUAUGCCAUAUUUGGUUGGUAUCCCUGGGAGGCCUGCUCUUUUCUGAGGAGAGAUGGAAGGGGUGUGGAUCUGGAGAAGAGAGGAGAAUUGGGGGAAAGAUUCGGGGGAGGAGAUGGAGGGGAAACUGUGGUUGGGAUGUACUAUAUGAGAGAAAAAUAAUAAUUAAAAAGAAAUAAAAGUCUGGCAUUCUUAACCAUCACAGAAAUGAAAAAAAGAAUGCUAAUUUUCUCUACUUAAUAUUCUCACAGAAACUGUUGCAAAAUAGUUCACAUUGGCGCCUGAGUGAUUCUCAAAGGCAGUUGAAAUUCUCAAAGGCCUUUGAUUUGGAAAAUAAACACACUGUUAUAAUAUUAUGUACUAUAUAGGAAGAAAUAUGCCUUUGAAGAUGAACUGUGGUGGUAUCUUGGUGGGAACUUCUGAUUUAAUUGGUUUAGGUUCUGGAAGGAGAGCUAUUUAUAUAUGUUAUACUUGUACUAACAAAAUGUUAGAAUAAGUAUUAUAACUAAAAAAAUAAAAACACAAUGACCUUGUGCUAAAGGUUUGUGCAACAAGUAUUUUAUAUGGUAGGAAGGUCAUUGCAGAAACAAACUGCUAGAAAUAUAUUGUAAGUUGGGUGGAUGAAUCAAUCAUUCAGGGCAUUAAGAUACUGUUCCAGGGUUUUUUUCCAACUUAUCAGACAAUGUAUAUCAUGGCUGUUUCCAAAUGAUUUAUGUUGGAAAAGGAAGAAACUGUGAGAAUUUUACCUCAUUGAAUAGGUUUUAUUUAUGUGGAUCUAGGUGUGAAGGUCAGUGGUAGAGUGCUUGCCUAGAAUAAACAGGGUCCUGAAAAGAUUUAAUACCUAAUAUGUGAGGUAUUCAUCACACUUGUUAAAACAUUAAUAGUAUCUAUAAGUCCCUAAUGGUAAAUCUUUUUCUUUAUGUGGUUAGUCUGAAAUGUUAUAUUUGUACAAGUAUUCUAAAGAGGUAGCAUUCCAGACAUUUAUGUUCAAAAAAGAUGAUGGUAGGCUGUGUGAACUAAGUCAAUACCAUCAUGUGAAUCUUCUGGUGUGAGAUAACCCCUAACUCACAUGUUUACUGCUUAAUAAAAAUUGAUAUAUUGUUCAAGAAGGCAUUCUCAAAAUACAAUAUAGACAAUUAAAAAGUAAAAUAAAUGAAACAGAUUUAUUAUUCAAGAACUAAUAUAAAUAUAAUUGGAAUAGCUAUGAUGUGAAGAAAGAAACUAGGGCUGAAGAGAUGGCUCAGAGGUUAAGGCAUUGAUUGCUCUUCCAGAGGUCAUGAAUUCAAUACCGAGCAACCACAUGUUUGUUCACAACCAUCUAUAAUGAGAUCCAAUGCCCUCUUCUGGUGUGCAGGCAUACAGACAGACAGGCACUAUAUAGAUAACAAAUAAAUAAAUAAAUCUUUAAAAAAAAAGAAAGUAGAAUUAAAGUCAAAAGAUACUAAUUGAGAAAAAUAAACAAUAAUUUACAUGGAGAAGAGAACCAGGCAGUAAAUCAAUUCAGGUGGGAAAAUUAUUUCCACACAAUUAAUAAUAAAAAAACCCUAAAAACAUGUAAAACCAAAAUAACAAAAUGAAGGAGAAACAGAGUUAUCAAUGAUCAAAGUAGGGGCUUCUAUACUGUUUUCCAAUAAUUGUUAAAAUAAAUAAAUGCUAAGAAUAUAUGCAUAUACAUAAAUAAAUAACAAUGAAUUGUCAUGGAACAAAGCCUAUUCGGUAAUCAUCAAAUACAUGAACUCUACAUGUUUCUUCUAAAGUACAUGAAAAUAUAUAUUCCACUGAGCCAGAAAGCUGCUAGUAAUAAGAGAGUCUGUAUCUUAGCCAGUAUUCUAUUACUGUGAAGAGACAUCAUGACUAAGUCAACUCUUAUGAAAAAAGCAUUUAAUUGUAAGCUUCCAUACAGUUUCAGAGAUGUAAUCCAUUAUCAUCAUUGUGGGGAGCAUGAAGGCAUGCAGGCAGGUGCUGGAACAGUAGCUGUGAGCUAUAUUCUACCAUGGGCUGAGGGAGUAAGUGACACACUUUCUCCAAUAAGGCCACAUCUAAUCCUUUUCAAAUAAUGUCAAACUCUAUUAUGAGUCAGCAUAACUAUACUAUUUAUAGUUCUUGGGAUUUGUGCAUAUUUUGUCACAUAGAAUUUUAAUAAAACUAUAGUAUACCAAAUCAAGAUGGUUAAUUAUAAUUUCAUACAAAUUACACUAAUUCAAAAGUUUCACAAUUCAUAUUCUUGGUAUUAUUUUGAUAUUUGUUUACACACUGGUUUCAGUUGUCUUCAGGGAAAGUGAAACUGCUUUCAAAUGUUUGUGACAUUGGUAUCAAAGAAUCUAUAAAAUUGUUGUUUAUACUUAUAAAAACUAAAAUGCAAAUUAAAAAACUAAAAUACAAAGCUAAUAUGGAAAAACUAAGCAUUCAAAUAUAUGAGACUAUGGGGGCCAAUCUCAUUCAAAAUACCACAUUCAACUGUCCAAUAGACUUGAAGCCAUGCCAUAAUGUUAAAAAAAAUCAUUCAGUCAAAUUAAAAAAUCCCCACAGUCUAUCAUAGUCUCAACACUGUUUAAAAGUCCAAAGUUGAGUCUGUUCUGAGACUCAUGACAAUCUCCUAAAUAUAUCCUCCUGUAAAAUCAAAAUCAAAAAGCAGAUCACAUACUUCAGACAGAAAGGGAGAGAGAGAAACACUGAUUAAUUUGAAUGAAUUUUGACCACAGAAAAGAUAUAUCUAGAAAAUUCAAAUUGCUUAAAAAAUAAUGAAUUUCAAAAUAGCCCAAGAGUGAAAAGGCUAUCAAAUGGAAAUUAGAAAGUUAGCACUGUUAAGUUUAAGCUGAAUAAUAAUGAAUGUGUAGCAUGUUAAGACUUGUGAUGAACUUGUAGAGAUCUGAUUGAUUAUAAUGAUAUUUAUUUCUUUAAAUGAAUAUAUUAAAAAUAAUUGCCUGAAAUUUAUUCAUAGAAUACUUACCUCAAGAAAAUAAAUGAAACAUCCAAGAAAAUAGAAUAACAGAAGUAGCAAAAUGUAAAAAUGAAAACAGUAAAGAUGAACACCAUUUUUAAAUAAUGAUUUACAUUUGUGUGUGUGUGUGUGUGUGUGUGUGUGUGUGUGUGUGUGGGUGGGUGUGUGGGUGUGUGUGUGCACGCGCGCGCAUGUACACACAUGUCUGUGCCACUAUCUAUAUGAGAAGUCCAGUGAACAAUGUUCAGGAGUCUGUUCUCUCCUGCCAACAUGUAAAUCCUGGGCAUCAAACUCAGGUCCUUGGCAGCAACCAACUUUACCAUCUCUCUACUCAAAACUGAACAUUUGAAUGCAGAUGUUCCCUCAAAUGUGAUAGAUUUACUUCUUGAUAAUUCCACUGUUAGUUUAAAUAAAAACACAUUUGUUACACCUAACUUCCAAAUAUCACAGUGUACCCUAGACUACAAGAAGCUCACAGAAAAGUUACAUUAGGAUACAGUUAGGCAAAAAAACAACAGGCAGAAUGCUUAUCUUAUGACAAAAUAUUUAGCAUUUCAUGCUUGUUGUUAAGUAUUAUACUGUAAGUAGAAAUCAGAAUGACUGUAAGAAUGUUCCCUGUUACUAUACCAACUGAGAACACAUUGACCUGAAAGAUAUGUGAAGCACUGAACUAAAUUGGCUCCAGGAUGAUGCAGGUAUUCAGCAGUGGGUACAUCCAUCAGUGACUGGUAGCUGCAUUUGACUCUCAUGCCGAGCAUCUUAAGCACAAAUAACUAUCCAGAAAAUAGAUCAAAUGGGAAAGCUCAUGGUAGCACUAUCAUUAAAUGAAAACAACAUAAGUCAAGCUAUAAUAAAUUUGGGGAAAUUGCUAUAAUCUAAUAUCUAAAGAUGGUCUCUAAAAUAAGAAGAGAGAAAGAAAGAACUAAUUAAAACUUUAAAACAUGGAUAUACAAAUCACCUGUUUAGAGAAUUAAGAAAAAAAGUAUGGAGAGCAUGCAUUUAUAAAAGGACAUGAUGAAUGUUUACAUAAAUAAAUCUGAAACUAUAUAAGAGACUGAAAGGAAAAUUUAAAAAAAAUUAUCUACAAAGAAAAAAUAAAAAAUGUGAAUAUUUCUUAUGGAUUAAAAAGUUUUUAAUCUGUACAAAUAUUCUUUAUUCAAGGAACUUUACCAGUAAAAUGCCAUAUGACUCAAACUUAGAACAAAAAAAGAUAUUUUCAACUGCUUUUUAAUGCCACAAUAAACUUAGAAUCAUUUUACUUUCUAACAAAAUAUCAAGUCAACCCAAAAAGCCAAUAGAAGAAAUAGGGCUUCACAACUAAGCUAAGUUCAUCUCAUGAUUUCAAUGUGGAGAUAUAUUUAAAAGUCAAAUAGGCCUCUAGGAAGAUGGAACAGAUGCAGUCUUCUAUAUUUCUCCUUGUAAGUAUAACUAAAACUCUACAUAUUAUCUGUAUAGCAAAAUGAUGUUUUUCAAAGCCAGGAUCUCAGGACCCAAUGAAUGCCAUAAGACAUAUUGCCCCAAGUGUCCUUUAUUUCUUUGUCGGUCCCAUAACUGUAGAUGAAUAAAAGUGCAAUCUGAAAACAGCAAAACACAACACACACACACACACACACACACACACACACACACACACACACACACACACCAUGGAAACUCGAAAGAAAAGAAAAUGAAAGAAACAGUGGAACAGUGCAUCAAGCAAAAGAGUUGUAAACAAUCUGCAUAUGGGGAUGGAUCAUAGAACUACUACUCAAUUUGGACAGUUUUCGUUUUAGCCCCAUUGGGCAGUAAUACAGACCCGCCCAUGUUGCUGGUGAAGUGUGCACAGGAAGCUUAGAUUCACACCAUCACCCAAACAUUGUGUGAAGAGUCUCUUACUCACUGGCAUUUAAAGAAACAGAUAAUGAAGCACUAACACAUCCAAGGUUGAGUAUGUAACAAUAAAGAGCAAAUGCAACAAAAGGAAAUAAUAAUAUUAGAUCUGUACAUAUGAAAAAUAUGACAUACAGAGAACACUUGAAAGAAAACAAUGUAUCAUCCAAAUACUUCUGUCUCAAACACAGACAGAAAACUAGGAAUAGAUUCAUCAAGGAAGAAAUCAAUAGAUCUAUCAACUAAUAUAAGCAAGUCAACAUUCAACAAACACUCCACUAACCAGGAUAACGCACAAUAGAUUUUAAAUACUCACAGAACAUACAUCAGGAUAGAAAUUGUCUUUGACCCUAGAACAAAACUCAACCAAUUGAAAUCUCUUAAACUAUACAAAAUAUGUACUCUGUCACAAUGUAAUUGAACUAGAAAUCUAUAAUAGGAAAAUAAGAAGGAAAUGUCUAAAUAUUUGGGAACUGAAACACUUUAACUAGCUGAUAAGUAGACCUCAAUGUAGCAACACAUACCUGCAACGCUAGCACUAAGAAGAGUUGAGAUAAUAGAUUUGGGGGAGAUGGAGGCACCCUAGCAGGCAAAGUAAGGCUUUUUUUUAAAAAAUGGGACAUAAAGCAAAAGGACUAAUGUAUUAAAAGAUGGUGAAAAUAUUAAUGCACUGAAAUGAAUAAAAUAUAAAAAUACAACACAUCACUAAUGUAUGUGGCACACAUGCAUUUUCUGUGUAUGCCUGCAUGAUCUCAUGGAAGCCAGAAAUCAGUCUCGAAUGUCAUUUCACAGGACGCUAUCCACUAUGUUGUUUGAGUUAUAUUCUCACUUUUAAAGGACAUAACUCAUGUCAGUUAACACAUUAAAGAAACCCCACAGAGGACACUAAAUUGUAUCAAUGUCCCAUUAAUGAAUGAAAACAGAAACUUCUUCUUUGAUUAGUCUGACCAAGAGCAAGCCCAAAUUUGAAUUCUCUACUUUUCUCCCUGUCUUCCUUCUGUCUUCAGUCUGUGGUUACUGGCCUGACUUGUAUCUAAUAUACGUUCCUGUUACCUAAUGGUGUGCGUGUGUUUGCUUUGUAUCUGUGAUUUCCUGUGAGUCUGAACCUGUGCUUGUCCAUAACAAAGGGCUCUACUCUGCCUUUAAUUAACAGCACAAAAACAUAGUAUGAAAAAGAAAUUAGGGACUUUUACAGAAAUUUUUGACUAAGUGUUACAGGAAAGAAGUUACUUUGCUGACUCAGAAUGCCUUUCAAAACUACAAACAAAAUUAUCAAUAUAUAUCCACGUUAUUUUCAACACUUAUGGGAUAUUUGUUUGGUUUAAGGUAGUUUUCAACUGGUUGCCUGCUUUGAGCAAAUUAAUGAAGAUAGAAUUUUCCUCUUUGAUUAGUUUGAUUAAGAGAAAGACCAAAUUUGAAUUCUCUACUUCUCUUCCUAUGUCUUCUGUCUGCGGUUACUCACUUUUCUGCAGUCUGUUUAAUCUAAUAUAUGUCCCUGUUGCCUGAAAACACACACACACACACACACACACACACACACACACACACACACACACACACACACACGCAUGUGCGCACUCAUGCACACACACACACACCAUUCUGGAUCAAGUGUAUGGAAAGUCUAUAACUGAAGAUUAAAGCUAUGCAUUAGCUUAGAUUGUAAAAGCUGAUUACAUAGAAAAACCCAAAACAUAGUAUGAUUGGCUACAUUGUUCUUUUAAAGGCAGAUUAGAUUAAAUGUAGUAGGGCAGUAGGCUAAAUAUGGAUUAAGUACUCUCAGGGCAUAUUAUUAAUUUGACUGCAAGGUCUAGUACAUGUUCUUUGGAGUCAAAAGAACUUUUAGAAAAAUGUGAGACUACACUUAUUGUGUACCUAUUUCUGCCUGGAUCCCAGCUAGUGCUGAGCUUAUAAAACCCCCAUUCUUAGUUUAAAAACAGAGAAACAAACAGACAGAAGACAAAACAAAGCAUGAGUUCUCAGAAACAAAUUUAUGUACUUAUAUUCCUAUAGGAUCACUUUGGAAAUGGAAGUACCACAGCUCAGCACAAACACACAAACACACAUACACACACACACACACACACACACACACACACACACACACACACACGCACACACACACACACACAUACACACACACAAUCUGUAGGAUACAGCUAAAGCAGAGCUUGAAGUUCAUAGUACUAGUUUUGCACAUUAGAAAACUAUAAAUCCCUUCAAUAAGUAAUAUGAGUUUCCAUCCCAAGAAGAUAAAUAAAGGAAAACAAGACACAACAAGAACAAAGCAUGCAAUGUGGAUAAGACCUGAAAUCAAUGAAAUGGAAAACUCCAGAGAGACAUCUUUGAGAGAUGGAACUAAUGUUUAAAAAACACCAGCAAAAAGAUGGGCAUUGGUGGUGCACACCUUUAAUCCUAGCACUCUGGAGGCAGAGGAAGGCAGAUCUCUGUGAGUUCAAGACCAGCCUAGUGUGCAAGAGACAGUUCCAGGACAGCCUCCAAUGCCACAGAGAAACUCUGUCUCAAAAAAAAAAAAAAGACACCAACAAAGAACUGACAAACUAUCUCAAGUUGGGGAAAGCAAGUUUUAUACAACCUCUACAGAAAAUACUGGAAAUAAUAUUUUCUGACACUCAAUUAGAAGUCAAAACCAAAACUGUAUACUAGUGCAAUGCACACAGGUCAUCAUAAAUAAUAAGCAGAAUUCAUCAGCAUAUAAAACAAAGCCUGAUGAUAGACAGAUGUUUAUUUCAAGGCUGCAGAAUCUGAAAAUCAGUCACCUAUGUGGCAAGAAUGAGAAAAAUGUGGUGCUAUCAACUGAUACAGAAAAAUCAUUUGAUCAAACUCAUAACAUUCUGGGAUUAAAAAAGAAAAAAAAAAAGAACCUAGAGGAAUGCCUUUCUGUCGAUGAAGAGUUGACAGAACCAGUCAGUCAAGCUCAGUUAGUACAUGAAUUUAUCACUAAUAAUAGCAAAAAGGCCAGAUAUUUUUCUCUGACAGCCUUAUUCAGCAUCGUGACCAAAGUUCUACUCACCCACAUUCACAUACACAUACUUGCACAUUAGUUAAUAUAAAACUAAAUUAAAAUACUUAAAAUUGAACAAUCACUAGUAAUCUAUAAAAUACAAAUGGUGUGCAAUUUCCUGCCAACCAGAAUAUACUGCUAAAGGUCUUAAGGGACCAAUUUUUUGUCAGGAACAAGAUACCUGAGAAUUCACACCCAAAUAAUCUAGUUAAAAUACUCUGAAGAGUAGAUGUUUAUUGGAUAUUGAGACUAUUAAUACCUGCAGGUUAAGAUAUUUCAUUGCUGGAAGUAUUUGCCUUGAAGAACUUCCAUUCAAAUAGCCAUGGGAACAGUGAGAGGUGCUGAUUAUGGCUUCAUACACUUGCAAGGAGUUCUGGGGAGUUGGCUCAUUUGGUAAAAUGUUUGUUCAUUGAGCAAGACCGUCACCUAACUCUGGAUACCCAACAUACACAUAGUAGCUAAGCAUGAUGGCACACAUCUUCAAUCCCAGGACUGGAGAGGCUGAGACAAAUGCCUGAAUAUCAUUGACCACCCAGUCUAGCUCAGUUAGUACAUGGUUUCCAAAUUCCAUAAGAGAAUCUGUCUAAAAAAUAAGGUGAUUAGUAACUAAGGAAGAUGCUGAAUGAAUUCUGGCCACCAGACUCCACAUCUGUGCAUGUUUGCACAUGCAUACACACACACACACACACACACACACACACACACACACACACACACACACACACACACUAUACACCCUGUGUAUGUGUACAUGAAUACACAUGUUAAAGGGAACAAAUUAAAGUAAAAUGAAUCUGUUGGGUAAGGUUAUUCUGCUGAUAGGAUAUGAUAUGUGUAGCAACUGAAGUAAAUUGAAUCAUUUUUGUUUGCAUGAAUAACUCUGGUCCUUAAAAACAAACACUCAGAGGGAAAAACAAUUCACCUGAACUUUCAAACCAAAUGGUACUUAAGUAUUUUUCUUUAUUAUGGACAGAUGUAUAUUAUGAAAGAAUACAAACAUUAGAACAAGUGUUAUUUCUGGGGAGGAUAUGGGAAUAAGUGGGUUUUCAGGCUUAUUGGUAAUUGUAUAUUUUCUUUAAGAGAAUGAAAAAUGAAAGGGACUGAAAUUAGAAGUUAGCAGCAGCUGAUGAACAUCUGUUCAUUCUAGCUAGCAUCUACAUACAUAUUUAUUUCACUGUUUUCUCUGACUUUUCAUUUGUUAUCAAUAGUUCCUAAACAAGAAAAAAAAAUAAAGUGACAUAUGGUCUGUGAGAUGACUCAGCACUGAAAACACUCAAGUAUACAGUUUAAAGAGCACAUGCACAAUUAGAAGUCACAAUGUACCUGAGCAUGUAAUUAUCAAAUUUGAAGAUUCCAACAAAGGUAGUUUCCCAGGACCAGUAUACUAUACACAACAGAAUACCAAGAUUUUGACAGUAAUUUGGCCUAGGCAGUGGUGGCGCAUGCCUUUAAUCCCAGCACUCAGGAGGCAGAGACAGGCAGAUCUCAGUGAGUUUGAGCCCAGCCUGGUAUACUGAGUGAGUUCCAGGAUAGUCUCCAAAGCUACAGAGAAACACUGUCUCAAAAAAGAUUUUUGACAGAAAUUCACAAUCCUUUCAAUCAAAAAAUUAUAUAGAAAAUCAAUUUGUCCUUAACUUUCCAAAUUCAUCAGUAUUCUUCAUAAAACUAAACAAAUACAAUAAAUAAAAUUAGCAGACUUUCCCCUUAACAUUUCAUCAAUUGCUGCUCAGUCUUAAAAAGUAUAAUUCUGCUUGCAUGACUUCUCAUACAGAUCGCACCCAACAUUUUAUACCACUAAUCACUGCCUUGCUGCAUGAAUUUCUUAUGAUAAUUAUUUGCAGGUAAAUUUAUCAAUAUUUAGCCCGCUGCUGUAAUUUAAGAUGCAUUCAAAUAAAUACUCGUAUUAAUACAUGUUCUCUCAUGGAGAAGUACAAACAGCACAAAUGGGAUCUUUUAUUGAUGCACAGUACGCGGAAGCCAGGUUCCCACUCACCUCUCCAGAGAAACACACUGCUACCAAUUGUGAGCAGGCUUUGUCACUCUCAGAAAUAUUGACACACCAGUUGAGAUAAUUACUUGUUUGGGCCUGUUCUGGGGAUGUUUCAUAGCAGCCUUGUGUUCUAGCACUAUACUUUUCCCAAGCUGAGAUGACAAAAACACUUCUAAACAUUGGCACAUAUUUUCACAAAGCAUAUUACCAACUUCAGAACUACUACUAAAGCAUAUAUCAUUUGAGACCUUUUACAAUAGGGUCAUACACAAUAAUUAAUGUAUAAUAAAAUAUACGUGGAUUCAUAUAGAUACAUAUAUAACUUCAAAUAUAAAUGAUAAGAUGCCACAUAGAUUAUUGUACACCUUGGUUCUUUUCAGUUAAUAGUAAUUUGUUAGCAUCUUUAAACAAUAAUGCAUUUAGUUUUUAUUUGUUAUCAUUAUUAUUCCUAUUUUUGUGUUGCUAUUGUUGGUUUGUUUAAAACUCUUCUGUUUUAAAAUAAUAAAACUGAUUUGGGUAUGUUCAUCCUGGCAAAAGAAAUUGAUUUGCACUCUGCUGCCAGUGUGCUUUUCCAGUCUGGGUGAGUGUAUGCCUUCUAUUACUAUGAGGCAAAGUAAAUACACCCAACAGGAGUAUUUGCCUAUGCCCCUAAUAUCUCCACAGGUUUCCUGAAUCAUCCUCUCUCAUUUCCUCUUCUUAUGGAAGAGCCAUGUUAUCUAGAUAUAAAUAGACCCUUCAUCCCUGUCAUGUGGUACCUAGAAUGGUCUGUACCCUUUCCUUGAGCAUUUUAAAGCUAACCAUUAUUGAGGCCAUAAAUCACCCAUUCACAGACUCAUUUCCCCUGAAAGGGCCUAGGAGCCUGUCAGGUGCUUUGUAUUUGAGAAAACAUAGCUCUGAGCUGGAAGGUGUACGGCAGGGCACUAAAGUUUCUAGGUCAGGCAUAAGAAGUGCCCUGACCUUCCCUCAUUAACCCCAGUAUCAUCUUUCCACCCCAAGCCUCAGUUUCCUCAGCAUGACAGGAUUUCAGUAAGACUCUUAUCAGUCCUCACCAGUAUGCUAUGAAAGUCUUAACCAAAUAUUUUGCAUAGAUUGUAUUCAGCUCUCUGCAAAUUACCAUGUUGAAUGUCCCUUGGGCAUUUUAUAUUGAUAAAACAAAGUUAGAGGCUAGAGCAGUUUACUGUGUCAUUCCAACAGAGACUCUGGUGAUGAAACCAUAAAUGAAAUUUAUAGUGGUUUAUCUAGAAAUGUCAACAAAAUUUUGCCUCUACUCACUUAGUCUUUGUUACUACUAACAUCAAUUAUUCAAGAUGCAUAAUAUUCUUUAUUCAUAACCCAUUUUUCUAUGCCUAAAAUAAUUUAAUGUUUUAAUAGCACAAUUUAUUCUUUUUUAAAUGAACAAAUAUACACCUAUUGGUCGGAAUUAAAUGUAAAAAAUGUAAACAAAUGUUCUGUAAAUCAUUUUGUAAAUAGUAGGGAUGCAACUGCUAUAAGAUAUUUGAUUGCAUAAAGAUAUGUCACGGUGAGAGCUUGUUGCUGAGACAGAAAAAGACUUGUUACAUAUGGUGCCCAAUGUAGGGCCUCAAAUAUUUACAUAGGGCUGAAGAAAGUGGUCUCUUAGGCUGCCUCAGCAUACAGAGGUGUGGCUCUUUUAAGAAACCAUGCUGUAAAGCCAAUACAGCCAAGCACUUGAGCAGCUAGCAAGGGGAACAACUUCCUGCUUCAGGCAGAAACAACACAUUCCCAGAGCUGUGGUGGAUAAAUGCAGCUCUGGAGUUGGUACCCACCAACAUGAGAGUAGGCUCUCACAGAACACAGAGGGGUAGAGCCAGCACACCAUAUGAUAGUAGUUUUAGAUUUGUAUAAUGGUCAAAGAAUGAAAAUGCAGGAACACAGCAAAGUGGUCCAGACUGAGAAACACUUUUAAGCAAAUACUGUAAAAAUGGGUAAAGAAAGUCAAAAAAUAUUUUAAAAAUAAUAAGUUUUUUGAAGAGAGAGUAAAGAUGGGAAAUAUGAAGGGUAUCUGCAUCCUGUACAUUACUUGUUGACUUUAAAUUUUUAAAUGCUAAUGAACCAGAAGUAAUAGCUGCUGAAAGACAUUGGAUUAUGAAAACUGCUAAAUUUAAUCAACCUAUAUAUCUUUAACAUGUAUUAAGUUCAAAAUGUAAGUCAGAAAAUAUAUUGCAUUGGGGGAGAGAUUAUGCCUCUUUUCCACAGAAAACAAAGGUUAUGGUUCUCUUCAAAAUUAAUAAAGAUUAGAUUUGAUCAGGGGAAACUUCCUGAAAAUCUUGGCUACAGACAUAAAAGGAAAAAAAAAAACAACAAAAAGACUACAGGCAGGUGACAUAUAUGCUGAUAUCUCUACUAUUGGGAUAGCUGAGAGACUCGAUGAAAGCUGAUAAAUCUUGUUGGCUACAGUGUCCUCAUGACAGUUUGAUUAUUCAGUCCAAACAGACUUAUAAAGUUGACAGGAGCUAUUUACCUGAUCAAACAUAGAACAAAACUAAUCUUUAGUUGACUUUUGCACACUAUUAAUAUAGAUAUGUAUGUUACUUAUAAAAAUGUGUAUGUUUUUAGAAGAAAAUGACUAGACACCAAAAAAGAAAAAUAGACCAGAUACUCUGCUGCUCAGAAUGUCUCUGUUACAGUUUCCCCCAAAAUCUGUAUCCAGAACAACUUCUAAGCUGCUAGCUGAGAUGGUCCAGCCUCCUGCCAUGGCUUCAGAUAAGCUCUACAUGUUCCCAUUAAACAGAGACUAAACAAAAAAUAAUCCAGAUAAUUUUCUCAGGACUUGACCAUUAUCCCUGUUUUCUCAAGGCUCCCCAAAGAUGCUAUCAUCCACCAAACAACAGGAAGCAGUCUAGAGAACACAAUCCCCACAUUCUCAAGAGAGCCUUCUUUCCAGCACCAAAGACAACAUGCAGAGAGUAACAGACUGAGUGGUUGUUAAUCCCAAAAUGAAAGGAGAAAGACCACCAACACAAAUCAUGAUGUCCAAAUUAAUUAAAGCAAGCAAUUAAGUAAAGCAAGUGGUUUUAUUUGUGUACAUGGCUGCCUCACCAUAAGGCAGGGUUCAAAAGGACAGCAUUGGAUGUGGAAAAGCUUACUUGAAAUGUUGACAUUAUUGGAAAAAGCCACCAAAACAACAACAACAAAAAAUACCACAGAUAAUAAAAAUGCCCCUAUUAUAAAGGAAUUUAUCACAUCAAAGUUAAUGAUUUUUCAUCCAGUAACAAUGCCACUCUUUGGCUGUCAAGUUAACUCAGUUUCAAUUUAACUGAACCACUCUAUCAUCCCAUCAGAGUCACAGACAGAGACGAAUUAAGGUGAUUCACAGGCUGAGCAUACUAUGUGCCCUGGAUACGAAUUGAUCAUCAGUCCUCACUUUCUCCUUCUACCUGCCUCCUUCCCUCCAUCCCUCUCUCACUUUCUCAUUAUUUUGAGUUAUACUUUUUAUUGCAACAAUGUAUUAUCCAAUUU
ensembl:lncRNA